rnacentral:rRNA from 1 species
GAUGAACGCUGGCGGCGUGCCUAAUACAUGCAAGUCGAGCGAACGGACGAGAAGCUUGCUUCUCUGAUGUUAGCGGCGGACGGGUGAGUAACACGUGGAUAACCUACCUAUAAGACUGGGAUAACUUCGGGAAACCGGAGCUAAUACCGGAUAAUAUUUUGAACCGCAUGGUUCAAAAGUGAAAGACGGUCUUGCUGUCACUUAUAGAUGGAUCCGCGCUGCAUUAGCUAGUUGGUAAGGUAACGGCUUACCAAGGCAACGAUGCAUAGCCGACCUGGGGGGGGUGUCCGCCACCCUGGACCCGAGACGCGCCCCAGCCUCCCACGGGGGGCAGCGGGGGGAACUCUUCCGAAAGGGGCAAAACCCUGCGGGAGCCACCCCGGGUGGGUAGUGAAGUUUUGCGGUUCGUAAACCUCUUUUUUUGGGGAAAAAAAAAUGGGAAAGUAACGGUCACCCUUUUGCCGGUACCAAACCAAAAGGCCCCGCCAACCUCCUG